GACGAACGCUGGCGGCAUGCCUUACACAUGCAAGUCGAACGGUAACAGGUCUUCGGAUGCUGACGAGUGGCGAACGGGAGAGUAAUACAUCGGAACGUGCCCGAUCGUGGGGGAUAACGGAGCGAAAGCUUUGCUAAUACCGCAUACGAUCUACGGAUGAAAGCAGGGGACCGCAAGGCCUUGCGCGGACGGAGCGGCCG
rnacentral:rRNA from 1 species